UAGUCGCGGCGGCGUAAUCUUGCUUGGCUGGCGUUGAAGGCGCAUCUAUGGUUCACUGUGUGACACAUCUGCGGUGUACCACACAUCACGAAAAAUAUUCCAUAUAUGUAGUUUGUUUAUAUAUAUAUAUAUAUUGUUGUCGAAUAAAACUAAGCAUACCAAAAUCUACCCAUCCACGGAAUCUUAGUGGAAAAGGCUGCCAGAAGACGCUGUGCAGAGCGAUUCGGCAUUCACGCACAGCUUUCACACACGCGCACACGUACACGUACAUCCCUCUCGUCUGUCUCUCUCUUCCUUCUCCCGCUUUGGAUAAUUUUAGGGGAGCAACGGGGCUGAAGAGUAACAUGGGCAGUUCAAGCAGCAGACAGACGCCGCUGCCGGCGCGGUCCGCGAAUACUGCUGCCACAGCCGAGGUGACGGCAAACACGACCGACUAUCAGGAGUACAUCAAGUUUCGUGACCAGCUUCUGGACUUUGCUCUCGGGGAGAGUGCCUUCGACUACACCGAGCGCCUCUUCGCCCAGAAGCCGGACAGCCCCGAAGUCAUGGCGCUACUAGCAGAGACCACCUUUUUGUAUGAUAAGACCAAAAACAAGGUAUCGCGCGAGCACUGGUGCGAUCGUCUGGACCUGCUGCAGCGCGGCGUCGACGUGAGCCGUAAGUGCAUCAACGAGAACAAGGAUUACGGCCCGUGCUAUCGCACCUACGUCAUGUGCGCCACACGCGAGGCGGAGGCACUCUACUACAUGAAGAGUUUCACGGGACUGGGGCUUGUGGAAAACUACCAGGCCAUCAUGCGGAAGGGCGUCAAGGGGAUGGAGCUGCUGCCAACGGACGCGGAAAUUCCCAACACCCUUGGCGCUCUGUGUGCGCGCUGUUGCUUCCGUUGGUACGACCCGUCGCGUGUGUACGCGUGGUUCUACGGGCUGCCAACGACGCGCAGGCUGCGUGAGCUGAGCGUGGACUUCCACAAGAAAGCGUGUGAGAACGACCCCAAGAACCUUGAGUACGCCUGCCGUUUGGCGCAGGCCUACUUCCAGCUAGGCGAUCUGGCGAACGCGCGGCGAUGGUAUGUGAAGGUGCGCGAUGAGAUGCCGCCGCAGGAGCUGAAGGAUGAGAAGUGGCAGGGCGUAGCACACACGCAGUUGUCCACGGCCUUUGUGAAGCCCAAGUGGAAUGUGCCGUUUGCUUAACCUGAACUGUCGAGUGUGUGCGCGUGUGUGUAGAACACGGUGGCGGCAGGGGAAGGGGUGGGGAGCCAGCGAGGCUGCGGAGGGCGGUGGUUGGCGCUGUUGUUGUUGUUUUUUUUUUGUUCGUGCUACUGAUGUGGGCUGUUCUCACCGCCUGCGUUGUUGACCUUCGCUCUUUUCUUUCUUCUGUGGCUCCCCGCGCGCCCUUCCGAUGACUGCUCUUCUCCCUCCUUAUCUCACGUUUCACAGCUGACGAUGGUGGUGCGGGUGUGAUGACGGCGUGUCAACGACCGUGCCCUGCCGCAGUGGCAGCAGCAGCCGGGGGAGGGGCUCACUCCAUUUGGGUUCUUCUGUUCUCCUUUUCUUAGGUUGUCCUUUUCACCUUUCACUUCCUCUGUUGGCCAGUUUUUCACUCUCCACCUCAGAACUGCAUACAGGCGAACAGCACGGUUGUGAUUUACCUCGAUUUUUCUUGGCGCCGACCCGAGUCCAGUGCUGGGGCGUUCACAUCGCGAAGAGACUGCGUGAAGCGACGAAGCGAAGAGUGAGGCAGGAGAGAGAAGGUGGUGACGCUGCAGCUCUCACCACCACCAUCUGCCUUCGACUUCUCUGCUAUCGAAGUGCUCUACUCUCUUUUUCGUCCUCCGCCUUGCCUCCUCUUCCUGUGUGGGAAGCGUGCGCCUGCCAUUGUGUGUGCGGGCGCAUGCGUGAUGCCCAUUUGAAUGAAGUGGUGGCGGUGCAUGCUGGACGCUGUGGGGGCGAGAUUUGUGGUGGCCAUGCGUACGCGCCGGUACACUGCCGUCGCGCACACCGCACUUUUCCUCUCUCUCUCUCACUCACGGUCUGCGCCUUUCUUCCUCUCACCCGACGCCUGACGGACGCUGCUUUCGUUCGCGGCGUGUCGUCUUGUUCUCAAUCGCUCCUCAUAAUCGCCCUAUCAUCCCUACUUUUGUGUGUGUGCACGCGCUUCGUAACCGCACCGCGUUCACGUUCUCUGUUGUACUCUCCGGAGCAG
rnacentral:misc_RNA from 1 species